UACGGGGGGGGCAAGCGUUGUUCGGAAUUACUGGGCGUAAAGGGCUCGUAGGCGGCCAACUAAGUCGGACGUGAAAUCCCUCAGCUUAACUGGGGAACUGCGUCCGAUACUGGAUGGCUUGGAUUUGGGAGAGGGAUGCGGAAUUCCAGGUGUAGCGGUGAAAUGCGUAGAUAUCAGGAGGAACACCGAUGGCGAAGGCAGGUCUCUGGGCAUUAACUGACGCUGAGGAGCGAAAGCAUGGGGAGCGAACAGG
rnacentral:rRNA from 1 species